AAACUUUUUUUUGCGAGUUGAAAAGGUUUGCUUGCGAGUUAAGCUGUCUCUCAGUGGGGGGUCUCUACCCACCAGGAUGAAAGGCCUUUUCCUAUUGGUCACUCUCGAUUGAAGUCACAGGUUGACCACGCCCACUCAGUUUUCCCGGAAUCCGCUGCACUGCCGCCGCAGUCUGACAGAAGAGCGAGCGAAGGUGUAUCAUGACGAGCAACAUGUCGUGUAGCCUACUGAGUAGAAGAUUUGGUGUUGAUGGAGGAGGCAUCAUCUUCAAGGCAAAACCUUAGACCUGAUGCAACAUCAUCCAGUGUCAAAAUCACCCUUUAGGAGGCACUUGAAGACCAGUGCCCAAUAUGCAUAGGAACAUUUCCAGUGUCAGAAGUAGACCUGCCAUGCCAGCUUUUGUGGAGACAGAUAAUGGUAAUAGGGACUCACAUUGAAGCUUAAAAACACCUAAAAUGUGCUCUGAUUUGGAUCAUACCUCACGGUAACCUACCUAUGUUCAUUACAUUAGUUCAAAACAGUACAUUGCAAAGGUCAUAAAAAAUCAAAAUGUAUAUAUACAUAUAUACACACACACACAGUUGGUUGGAAACAUUACAUUUUUUUUAAAUGUUUUUUGACAAUGUUUUCUGCUUAUCAAA